rnacentral:rRNA from 1 species
GACGAACCACACGAACGUUAUUCGGAAUCACUGGGCUUAAAGGGUGCGUAGGCGGCGCGGAAAGUAGGGUGUGAAAUCCCUCGGCUCAACCGAGGAACUGCGCUCUAAACUACCGUGCUCGAGGGAGGUAGAGGUGAGCGGAACUUAGGGUGGAACGGUGAAAUGAUGUUGAUAUCCUAAGGAACACCGGUGGCGAAAGCGGCUCACUGGAUCUCUUCUGACGCUGAGGCACGAAAGCUAGGGUAGCGAACGGGG